GCCUAGUUAGCUUAGUUGGUAGUGCGUCUGCCUUGUAAGCGCUAGGCCGCGGGUUCGAUUCCCGCCCCGGCC
rnacentral:tRNA from 1 species